rnacentral:lncRNA from 1 species
AUGUUAUUCAUCAAAAUAAUCCCUCCAGAGCCUGGUGGUGGUGUUUCAACAGAAGUUGUCACAGAUAAAGCCUGCCAGGAGGUGUCACCAGAACUUACUCUGGCUGUACCCAGCCUUUCCAACAGGCAGCCCUACAAUUGCUUCAUCACAGCACAGAUCAGCAUCUGUCAGGCUCAGUUCAGCAGGGGGGAAGACACCUGAAGGCAUUGCUAUUGCUGCAGGUUGGAUGAGGCUGCAUGUGGCUCAGUGUUUGGUUGUCUGUCCUUGGCUGUACAGCAAGAUCUGGCGUGACCAGGGCUAAUACACGGUAGUUAAUUGCAAGAAAGAGAUGCCACAACUUGAAAGGAUAAAUCUCCAGAUAUUCUGAAGGUGUUCAAGACCUCUCUAACCUUUCUGAUUGGGUGAGGACAGUGUUUAACAGCAAGAAAACUAGCAUUUCUUAUGACAAACCUUCUAGGCUGAGUUGUGCUCUAGCAGGGAGGCAGCAAUAUGCAGUGAGACAUACUAAUGCUAUGUUUGUAGGCCAAGUGAAAACAUCUGUUUGCAGCUGAAUUGAUUCCUUCAGAAGAAAGUCCUACUGAGCCUCAUGAAUGCAGUGCCAGAGGAUCUCACUUCACAGGCCUCUCAGAUACCUAGGGGGGCUCUGAGGGUCAAAGCCGAAACCAAACUUGACACUGACAUGGGCUAUGACAUGAUCAGGCUUUCUGCCUCCAGAAGUGCCUUUUAAAGCUCUCUGUGGUGUACUCUGGUAUGCUUGGAAGGGGACAAAAAGUGAACAGCAUGGCCUCCAGACCUGCAGCUCUGAGAGCUGCACUGAACUGCUUGGUACCAGCUGCAGAGCUCUGACAGACUGAUGUGAGUCUCCCGUGGCAGGCUCGAUCUCAGAGUGAAUGAUGGUGAUAAUCAGCAGCUCACUCUCAUACUGCUUGCACCACCACUUGAAAUGUGGGCAUGUGUCCAGGAAGAGUGUGAUAAGAGCUCACCUUAAACUCCCAAGGCAUCACUUACUCUGAAAGCCUUUUCCUUACAGGCUGUCCAGCUUCACUUUUCUAAGCUCAGACAGCACAUUGAAUAGCUACUGGUGAAAACAGUUUUUAUCUGCUACUUUCAGCUACUUGGCCUCAUAAACAAUGGGUAUUUCACCUGGAUUUGGAAAUAGGAUUAGUAGGGAACUGCUUUAACUUAUCCUUGCUCUCAGUAGCUCUUCAUGAGGUUGUUUUCCUUUUAUUUGUAAAGGUAAGACAUCCAAAGAUGACCAUUUUUUUAAAGGCUGUGCCUCCAGUAUUUAAUUUCUUUUUUGCAUCUUUUUUUCACCAUGCUCUGGAAAAUUGGUGGAAUAAAGUCUGCAGAUGUAUUUAUAUACGGGCCUUA